rnacentral:rRNA from 1 species
GAUGAACGCUGGCGGCGUGCCUAAUUCAUGCAAGUCGAGCGAACAGACGAGGAGCUUGCUCCUCUUACGUUAGCGGCGGACGGGUGAGUAACACGUGGAUAACCUACCUAUAAGACUGGGAUAACUUCGGGAAACCGGAGCUAAUACCGGAUAAUAUAGUGAACCGCAUGGUUCAAUAGUGAAAGACGGUUUUGCUGUCACUUAUAGAUGGAUUCGCGCCGCAUUAGCUAGUUGGUAAGGUAACGGCUUACCAAGGCAACGAUGCGUAGCCGACCUGAGAGGGUGAUCGGCCACACUGGAACUGAGACACGGUCCAGACUCCUACGGGAGGCAGCAGUAGGGAAUCUUCCGCAAUGGGCGAAAGCUUGACGGAGCAACGCCGCGUGAGUGAUGAAGGUCUUCGGAUCGUAAAACUCUGUUAUUAGGGAAGAACAAAUGUGUAAGUAACUAUGCACGUCUUGACGGUACCUAAUCAGAAAGCCACGGCUAACUACGUG